GGAGAGGUGCAAGAGUGGUUUAUUUGGCUACCCUGGAAAGGUAGUGUACCUGCAAGGGUACCGUGGGUUCGAAUCCCACCCUCUCCG
rnacentral:tRNA from 1 species